rnacentral:rRNA from 1 species
GCUUUAAGCCAUGCAAGUCUCAGUACAAAACUUAAUUAAAGUGAAACCGCAAAAAGCUCAGUAAACCAGUCAUGAUUCACUGGAACGCAUAUGAACUAUACGUGGAUAACUGUGGUAAUUCUAGAGCUAAUACAUGCAACGCAGUCCCGACCGGUAAAAUGGGAAGGACGCUUUUAUUAGAUCAAGACCGAUCGCUGGGCUAGUUCUCGGCGUUUACUUGAUGAAUCUAAAUAACACAUUAGAUCGCAUAGUCUCGUACUGGCGACAUACCUUUCAAAAAUAACUGACUUAUCAACUUACGAUGGUAGACCCUGUGUCUACCAUGGCUCUUACGGGUGACGGGGAAUCAGGGUUCGAUUCCGGAGAGGGAGCCUGAGAAACAGCUACCACAUCCAAGGAAGGCAGCAGGCACGCAAAUUACCCAAUCCCGGCACGGGGAGGUAGUGACAAUAAAUAACGAUACGGGACUCAAUAGAGGCCCCGUAAUCGGAAUGAGUACACUUUAAAUCCUUUAACGAGGAUCCAUUGGAGGGCAAGUCUGGUGCCAGCAGCCGCGGUAAUUCCAGCUCCAAUAGCGUAUAUUAAAGUUGUUGCGGUUAAAAAGCUCGUAGUUGGUACUGCGUGCCACGCUGUCGGUUCGCCGCCUGCCGGUGUAACUGGCAUGCCGUGGCAUGUCCUGUCGGUGGUGAACGGUCUCUCUCAAUCCUCCUCGAGGCUGAGUAGUAGGUCGUUCACCGACUACAUCCUACCGCGGUGCUCUUUACCGAGUGUCGAGGCAGGCCGACACGUUUACUUUGAACAAAUUAGAGUGCUCAAAGCAGGCUAAAAUCUCUGCCUGAAUACUGGUGCAUGGAAUAAUGGAACAGGACCUUGAUUCUAUUUUGUUGGUCUUAAGAACACAAGGUAAUGAUCAAUGUGGACAGGCGGGGGCAUUCGUAUUGCGACGUUAGAGGUGAAAUUCUUGGAUCGUCGCAAGACGCACUAGAGCGAAAGCAUUUGCCAAGUAUGUCUUAAUUGAUCAAGAACGAAAGUUAGAGGCUCGAAGGCGAUCAGAUACCGCCCUAGUUCUAACCAUAAACGAUGCCAGCCAGCGAUCCGCCGAUGUUCCUCCGAUGACUCGGCGGGGAGCUUUACCCCGGGAAACCAAAGCUUUUGGGUUCCGGGGGAAGUAUGGUUGCAAAGCUGAAACUUAAAGGAAUUGACGGAAGGGCACCACAAGAAGUGGAGCCUGCGGCUUAAUUUGACUCAACACGGGAAACCUCACCAGGCCAGGACAUUGGAAGGAUUGACAGAUUGAUAGCUCUUUCUUGAUUCAAUGGGUAGUGGUGCAUGGCCGUUCUUAGUUGGUGGAUCGAUUUGUCUGGUUAAUUCCGAUAACGAACGAGACUCUAGCCAAUUAACUAGACGAUCCUGGUAUCAACGCUACCGGCGAUAUUCAUUCUUCUUAAAGGGACAGGCGGCUUACAGCCGCACGAGAUUGAGCAAUAACAGGUCUGUAAUGCCCUUAGAUGUCCUGGGCCGCACGCGCGCUACACUGAAGGAAUCAGCGUGUUUUUCCUAGGCCGGGAGGCCCGGGUAACCCGCUGAACCUCCUUCGUGCUAGGGAUUGGGGCUUGCAAUUGUUCCCCAUGAACGAGGAAUUUCUAGUAAGCGCGAGUCAUAAGCUCGCGUUGAUUACGUCCCUGCCCUUUGUACACACCGCCCGUCGCUACUACUGAUUGAAUGAUUUAGUGAGGUCUUCGGACUGGCGGUAAUCUUUUUCGGGCUUACUCCGAACUCGAUGAACGCUGGAAAGAUGACCAAACUU